AUGGGCGGCACGCCGCGGAGCAGCAUCGGCCACAUCCUGCCCGGCGCCGGCUUCUUCACCGUCGGCCUGUGGCACCUGUUCAACCACAUUAGGCUCUUCUCCCAGCGCCCGGACUCCUACGUCGCGCCGGUGUGGUUCCCCGUGCCGCGCGCGCGCUACCUCGAGCCCGCCCUCGUCAUCGCCGGCAGCGCCCUCGAGUUCGUCAUGGAGAUGUUCGUGGACCACUCCACCUUCCUGCCGUUCGACGCCGACGGCUCCAUCCCGUCGGACCGCCUCCACAACCACGAGCACGCCAUCAUCUGCCUGGCCCUCAUCGUCUACGCGGGCGGCGCCGUCCACCUGGACCGCGCUCGGGCUCCGGGGCGCCGCGCGCUCUGCCUGCUGCUCGUGUCGGUGGUGUUCGCGCAGGAGCUCCUCGUAUUCCACUUCCACUCCACCGACCACGCCGGCGUCGAGGGCCAGUUCCACUGGAUCCUCCAGGUGGUCGUCGCGGCGUGCCUCGGCACCGCGCUCCUCGGCGUCGGCUUCCCGCGGAGCUUCGCGGUGAGCCUGGCCCGGUCGGCGUGCAUCAUGUUCCACGGGGUGUGGCUGGCGGUCAUCGGCGCCAUGGUGUGGGUGCCCAGCAUGGUGCCCAAGGGGUGCUCGCUGGUGCGCGAGGACGGCCGCGACACGGUGCGCUGCCACAGCAAGGCCAGCCUUCACCGCGCCAGGGCGCUCGUGAACCUGCAGUUCGGGUGGUACCUGUCCUUCAUGACCGUGCUCGUCCUCGCGGUCUAUCUCUACGUUUGCAGCAAAUACCCCGCCGACCAACCGUACGCGCGGCUCCUCCGGAAAGCCGGCGACGAGGAGGAAGAGCAUGACCUAGAGGCGCGCAAGUGCGGGGUGCCGCGUGACGGCGGCAGCGACGUGCAUGCGCGUGGCUUCGCGCCACUGGAGAUCCAGGUGUAA
rnacentral:rRNA from 1 species